rnacentral:rRNA from 1 species
CCUACGGGUGGCAGCAGUGAGGAAUAUUGGUCAAUGGGCGAGCUCCUGAACCAGCCAAGCCGCGUGAGGGAAGACUGCCCUAUGGGUUGUAAACCUCUUUUGUCUGAGAACAAACCCCGCCACGUGUCCCUGAAUGCCUGUAUCCUAAGAAAAAACAUUGGCUUACUCCGUGCCAGCAGCCACGGUAAGACGGAGAAUGCGAGCGUUAUCCGGAUUUCUUGGGGUUAACGGGUGCGUAGGUGGUACGUUAAGUUAGCGGUAAAAGUGCGGGGCUCAACCCUCUCGAGCCGUUGAAAAUGGCAUACUUGAGUGGGCGAGAAGUAUGCGGAAUGCGUGGUGUAGCGGUGAAAUGCAUAGAUAUCACGCAGAACUCCGAUUGCGAAGGCAGCUUACCGGCGCCCGACUGAAGCUGAGGCACGAAAGCGUGGGGAUCGAACAGGAUUAGAUACCCUUGUAGUC